rnacentral:lncRNA from 1 species
UUUUAUUUUAGUAAAAUAUACAUAACAUAAAAUUUACUGUACUUAAACCAUUUUUAAGUGUAUGAUUCAUUGGUAUUAAGUAUGUUCACAAUGUUGUACAACCAUUACAACAGAUAUAAAUCAGUAUAAUAUGAAUAGCACAUAUGUCAAAUCUAUAGAUAUACAAAUUUCUAAAGCAAUGCAGACAUUUGUAUAAUUUGUGUGAACAUCACAAAUCAGGGGGCAGAGUAGAUAUGCAAUUACAGUCAGUUUGAUGCAUAAUUAUUCAAUUUUUUCACAACUUACUCAAUUUUACUGUACAGUAAAGUUGCCUAUAGCUCAAAAUUUUCCAUAACUGUUUCCAAAAAAUUAGUAAUAUCACUCAUAGAACAUGAAUUUCAGACGUGCUCUUCCACAUUUAUUCAACAGAUAGGGUUUUUCUCAUAAUGAAUUCUUUGCUGCUUUAGUAAAGAAUUUACUUUACUAAAAGGCUAAUUUUAAGUUUUCCCACAUUUACAAAGCUCUCUUGUUUUUAUGACUUCUUUGAGAGUUGGACUGUGAAGAAAGCUGAGCGCCGAAGAAUUGAUGCUUUUGAAC